UCGGCUGACCGCAGGUUUACCAACAUAAGAGCAAUGGCGGACAUUUUUAUUUUUGUCCUUUGUGGUUUCUAUACGGAGGUGUUGGAAGUGAAAAAUUCUAUAAAAUUUGUUAAUAAUUAGUGUCAACUUAUUUAAAGUGAUUAAUUUUGUGUGUCAUACACUGGUGAACACCGCAGUUUAUUGGAAACUUAUAAUAAGCGGUUAUGAGUGGAUAGUCGAAUACUGAUCCAGCUCGAUUGCAGCUGUGGGUACGCGGCAAAUAUACCUACCUACCUACUGAUUGUUACCAAAACGGAUAUAAGGAAUUCAUGUCUAACAAUGGAAGAAAUACUGAUAAACAGGUUAUCCAAAUUUGUCCAAGAAAUAAGGAACUUAACUGAUCAAGGUCACUGCCUUUGUAAGAUCUCAAUAGAUCAGCAUAAUCUAGAAAAGGCACAAAUUAUAAAAACUAAACUUACAGCCAUAUUGUCACGCUUUACAUGUGAACUAUAUAACUAUUUCAAAAUAUGCAAUA